rnacentral:rRNA from 1 species
UACGUAGGGUGCAAGCGUUAUCCGGAAUGAUUGGGCGUAAAGCGUCCGCAGGUGGCAAUGUAAGUCUGCUGUUAAAGAGUCUAGCUCAACUAGAUAAAAGCAGUGGAAACUACAUAGCUAGAGUACGUUCGGGGCAGAGGGAAUUCCUGGUGUAGCGGUGAAAUGCGUAGAGAUCAGGAAGAACACCAGUGGCGAAGGCGCUCUGCUAGGCCGUAACUGACACUGAGGGACGGAAGCGUGGGGAGCAAACAGG